rnacentral:rRNA from 1 species
CCUACGGGAGGCACCAGUGGGGAAUAUUGGACAAUGGGCGAAAGCCUGAUCCAGCCAUGCCGCGUGUGUGAAGAAGGUCUUCGGAUUGUAAAGCACUUUAAGUUGGGAGGAAGGGCAGUAAGCGAAUACCUUGCUGUUUUGACGUUACCGGCAGAAUAAGCACCGGCUAACUCUGUGCCAGCAGCCGCGGUAAUACAGAGGGUGCAAGCGUUAAUCGGAAUUACUGGGCGUAAAGCGCGCGUAGGUGGUUCGUUAAGUUGGAUGUGAAAGCCCCGGGCUCAACCUGGGAACUGCAUCCAAAACUGGCGAGCUAGAGUAUGGUAGAGGGUGGUGGAAUUUCCUGUGUAGCGGUGAAAUGCGUAGAUAUAGGAAGGAACACCAGUGGCGAAGGCGACCACCUGGACUGAUACUGACACUGAGGUGCGAAAGCGUGGGGAGCAAACAGGAUUAGAUACCCCCGUAGUC